GACGGACGCUGGCGGCGUGCUUAACACAUGCAAGUCGAACGGAAAGGCCCUGCUUUUGUGGGGUGCUCGAGUGGCGAACAGGUGAGUAACACGUGAGUAACCUGCCCUUGACUUUGGGAUAACUUCAGGAAACUGGGGCUAAUACCGGAUAGGAGCUCCUGCUGCAUGGUGGGGGUUGGAAAGUUUCGGCGGUUGGGGAUGGACUCGCGGCUUAUCAGCUUGUUGGUGGGGUAGUGGCUUACCAAGGCUUUGACGGGUAGCCGGCCUGAGAGGGUGACCGGCCACAUUGGGACUGAGAUACGGCCCAGACUCCUACGGGAGGCAGCAGUGGGGAAUAUUGCACAAUGGGCGGAAGCCUGAUGCAGCAACGCCGCGUGCGGGAUGACGGCCUUCGGGUUGUAAACCGCUUUCGCCUGUGACGAAGCGUGAGUGACGGUAAUGGGUAAAGAAGCACCGGCUAACUACGUG
rnacentral:rRNA from 1 species